AGUGAACGCUGGCGGUAGGCCUAACACAUGCAAGUCGAACGGCAGCACAGUAAGAGCUUGCUCUUACGGGUGGCGAGUGGCGGACGGGUGAGGAAUACAUCGGAAUCUACUUUUUCGUGGGGGAUAACGUAGGGAAACUUACGCCAAUACCGCAUACGACCUACGGGUGAAAGCAGGGGAUCUUCGGACCUUGCGCGAUUGAAUGAGCCGAUGUCGGAUUAGCUAGUUGGCGGGGUAAAGGCCCACCAAGGCGACGAUCCGUAGCUGGUCUGAGAGGAUGAUCAGCCACACUGGAACUGAGACACGGUCCAGACUCCUACGGGAGGCAGCAGUGGGGAAUAUUGGACAAUGGGCGCAAGCCUGAUCCAGCCAUACCGCGUGGGUGAAGAAGGCCUUCGGGUUGUAAAGCCCUUUUGUUGGGAAAGAAAAGCAGCAGGUUAAUACCCCGCUGCUCUGACGGUACCCAAAGAAUAAGCACCGGCUAACUUCGUG
rnacentral:rRNA from 1 species